UACAGAGGUCUCAAGCGUUGUUCGGAUUCAUUGGGCGUAAAGGGUGCGUAGGCGGUCUCGCAAGUCUGGCGUGAAAGCCCAAGGCUCAGCCUUGGAAGUGCGCUCGAAACGGCGAGGCUGGAGUGCCGGAGGGGAGAGUGGAAUUCCUGGUGUAGCGGUGAAAUGCGCAGAUAUCAGGAGGAACACCGGUGGCGAAGGCGGUUCUCUGGGCCUUACCUGACGCUGAGGAGCGAAAGCAUGGGGAGCAAACAGG
rnacentral:rRNA from 1 species